UACCAGCACCCCGAGUGGUCGGGACGUUUAUUGGGCCUAAAGCAUCCGUAGCCGGUUCUACAAGUCUUCCGUUAAAUCCACCUGCUUAACAGAUGGGCUGCGGAAGAUACUAUGGAGCUAGGAGGCGGGAGAGGCAAGCGGUACUCGAUGGGUAGGGGUAAAAUCCGCUGAUCCAUAGAAGACCACCAGUGGCGAAGGCGGCUUGCCAGAACGCGCUCGACGGUGAGGGAUGAAAGCUGGGGGAGCAAACCGG
rnacentral:rRNA from 1 species